GUGGAGCAGAUGGCAGGGAGCCAGUAGCUGGCCUCCCCUUCCCAUAACCUGCUUCUGCUUCCAGACACUGCCCUCGACUGCAGCUUACACUGCUCAGCAGAGCUCUGGGAUCAGUCUCCUGAGCAGACAUGGCAACAUCUCUUGAAUCUCACUUGCUGCCCUGUAUGGUCCCAGCCAGUUUUCCAAACCUUUCCAACCACACAACGNCCAAUUUAUUGGAUGGUUCUGGUGAGGGUUUGAUGGCAUGCUCAGCCCAGUGACUGCACAGAGUGGCUUUUAUUUUUAUUUCCUCAAAAACACACAGAGAGGAAGAACUGUAGGCUCCCCUCUCCUAGCACUCUGGGCAUCGGCUUCCUCACCAGCAAAUGGCAACAAAAUACAUACUGUGUGGCGGCAAUGGGGUUUUAAAGUGGAGUAAUAUUGAACAGGGCAAAGGGGCAUUUGUUAAAGAAAGUUUGCUCUAACUGCUGGCUUUCUGGCCUCUUUGUCCACAGAAGAACACAACAGUUUCUGUAACUCUGGUAGAUGGAAAAGGUGGGCUUCUACCUACACUGCUGAUCUCUAGUUCCCUGGCCGCCACCGCAAGUGUCAGNCACUGUCUCAGGACCACACACUCUGCAGUGCCAAACCUGCACUUCAAGGACAGCUGCAUUUCGUCUUCCAGGUCCUGGAUCACUGCNGUCCCCUUCAGUAUUCACCUGAGGA
ensembl:antisense Gm44418 predicted gene, 44418